GGUUAAGUGACUAAGCGUACACGGUGGAUGCCUGGGCAGUCAGAGGCGAUGAAGGACGUACUAACUUGCGAUAAGCGCAGAUAAGGCAGUAAGAGCCGUUUGAGUCUGCGAUUUCCGAAUGGGGAAACCCAACUGCAUAAGCAGUUACUGUUAACUGAAUACAUAGGUUAACAGAGCAAACCGGGGGAACUGAAACAUCUAAGUACCCCGAGGAGAAGAAAUCAACCGAGAUUCCGGUAGUAGCGGCGAGCGAACCUGGAUUAGCCCUUAAGCACUCGGUGAAGUAGGUGAACAAGCUGGAAAGCUUGGCGAUACAGGGUGAUA
rnacentral:rRNA from 1 species